rnacentral:rRNA from 1 species
GUCCACGCCGUAACGAUGAAUACUAGGUGUCGGGCCGUAUAGGCUUCGGUGCCGCCGCAAACGCAGUAAGUAUUCCACCUGGGGAGUACGUUCGCAAGAAUGAACUCAAAGGAAUUGACGGGACCCGCACAAGCGGUGGAGCAUGUGGUUUAAUUCGAAGCAACGCGAAGAACCUUACCAGGUCUUGACAUCCUUCUGACCGCACCUUAAAUCGGUGCUUUCCUUCGGGGACAGAAGAGACAGGUGGUGCAUGGUUGUCGU